rnacentral:rRNA from 1 species
UACGUAGGGGGCAAGCGUUGUCCGGAAUCAUUGGGCGUAAAGAGCGUGUAGGCGGCCCGAUAAGUCCGCCGUGAAAGUCCAGGGCUCAACCCUGGAAUGCCGGUGGAAACUGUCGGGCUGGAGUCCGGAAGAGGCGAGUGGAAUUCCUGGUGUAGCGGUGGAAUGCGCAGAUAUCAGGAGGAACACCAAUAGCGAAGGCAGCUCGCUGGGACGGUACUGACGGCUAAGGGCGCGAAAAGCGUGGGGGAGCGAACAGG